GGGACGAACGCUGGCGGCGUGCUUAACACAUGCAAGUCGAGCGGUAAGGCCUUUCGGGGUACACGAGCGGCGAACGGGUGAGUAACACGUGGGUGAUCUGCCCUGCACUUCGGGAUAAGCCUGGGAAACUGGGUCUAAUACCGGAUAUGACCUCCUAUCGCAUGGUCGGGUGGUGGAAAGAUUUAUCGGUGCAGGAUGGGCCCGCGGCCUAUCAGCUUGUUGGUGGGGUAAUGGCCUACCAAGGCGACGACGGGU
rnacentral:rRNA from 1 species